UGGGAGCAGCGGCUACCCGGGAAUAAGCAGACCCGGAGGAGCGAAGCGGCGGUCUUCUAGGUCAAAUCGAAACCACCACACAAGCACUUGACAAAGCAGCAUCACAAGCUGCCAGAAUGCAACAUCACAAGCACUUGAGUUACAGUCAAGACCGUCGACAAAAGGGAACGUCAGGCCAUAGUAAGGUUGCUGCGAUGGUGAUUCGAUAAAACAUCACAUACUUUUCUGUACACAGGGCUCCUCUUUUCGUCCUUGAGGGAGUUCCUCUCCUCCACCAAAUCCGUCAUCUCCUCUUUCAAAACAUUGUUAUCAGCGGGAUGGAGUGCUCCUUCCCCGAGGCGGGCGUCUGGAACGGCGG
rnacentral:lncRNA from 1 species